GUAGAAGGUGCCCUUUAUAUUGCAGGUAGAAUUGAAGAGCCGUCCAAAUUUGGCCUCAGGAAACACCAUGAGGUAGAAUUGAAGAGCCGUCCAAAUUUGGCCUCAGGAAACACCAUGAGGUAGAAUUGAAGAGCCGUCCAAAUUUGGCCCCAGGAAACACCACAAGGUAGAAUUGAAGAGCCGUCCAAAUUUGGCCCCAGGAAACACUAUGAGGUGGAAUUGAAGAGCCGUCCAAAUUUGGCCACAGGAAACACCAUGAGGAAUGGAAGAACCGUCCAAAUCUGGCCUCAGCAAACACUAAGAGGUGGAAUUGAAGAACCGUGAAAGUCUGGCCUCAGCAAACAUAGGAGGUUACUUUUAACGCUUCAGGUGGAAUUGAAAAACCGUCCAAAUCUGGCCUCUGCAAACACUAAGAGGUGGAAUUGAAGAACCGACCAAGUCUGGCCUCAGGAAACACUGUAAGAGAAGGUGCUCUUUAUAUUGCUGGUAGAAUUGAACAACCGUCCAAAUCUGGCCUCAGCAAAGGGGUGGAAUUGAAGAACCGACCAAGUCUGGCCUCAGGAAACGCUAUAAGAGGUGGAAUUGAAGAACCGUCGAAGUCUGGCCCCAGCACACAGUGAGAGAAGGUGCUCUUUAUAUUGCAGGUGAAGUUGAAGAACCGACCAAGUCUGGCCUCAGCACACAGUGAGAGGUGGAAUUGAAAAACCGUCGAAAUCUGGCCUCAGCAAACACUAAGAGAAGGCGCUCUUUAUAUUGCAGGUGGAAUUGAAGAACCGACCAAGUCUGGCCUCAGGAAACACUGUAAGAGAAGGUGCUCUUUAUAUUGCUGGUAGAAUUGAAGAACCGUCCAAAUCUGGCCUCAGCAAAGGGGUGGAAUUGAAGAACCGACCAAGUCUGGCCUCAGGAAACGCUAUAAGAGAAGGCGUUCUUUACAUUGCAGGUGGAAUUGAAGAACCGUCGAAAUCUGGCCCCAGCACACAGUGAGAGAAGGUGCUCUUUAUAUUGCAGGUGGAGUUGAAGAACCGACCAAGUCUGGCCUCAGCACACAGUGAGAGGUGGAAUUGAAAAACCGUCGAAAUCUGGCCUCAGCACACAGUGAGAGAAGGUGCUCUUUAUAUUGCAGGUGGAGUUGAAGAACCGACGAAAUCUGGCCUCAGCACACAGUGAGAGGUUAGUUAACUUAUUUUUAGAAUCAAAAUACAAGAAAUCAGAAGUAA